GCUUGUCUCAAAGAUUAAGCCAUGCAUGUCUAAGUAUAAACGAUUAUACUGUGAAACUGCGAAUGGCUCAUUAUAUCAGUUAUAGUUUAUUUGAUGGUCUCUACUACUUGGAUAACCGUAGUAAUUCUAGAGCUAAUACAUGCAUCAAACCCAAACUUACGAAUGGGUGUAUUUAUUAGAUUGAAACCAAUGCGGGUUCCCCGGUAUUUGGUGAUUCAUAAUAACUUUCGGAUCGACUUCGGUCGAUGCAUCAUUCAAGUUUCUGCCCUAUCAGCUUUGGAUGGUAGGGUAUUGGCCUACCAUGGCUUUAACGGGUAACGGAGAAUUAGGGUUCGAUUCCGGAGAGGGAGCCUGAGAAAUGGCUACCACAUCCAAGGAAGGCAGCAGG
rnacentral:rRNA from 1 species